UACGGGGGGAGCAAGCGUUGUUCGGAUUUACUGGGCGUAAAGGGCGCGUAGGCGGCGCAACAAGUCACUUGUGAAAUCUCCGGGCUUAACCCGGAGCGGCCAAGUGAUACUGUCGUGCUAGAGUGCGGAAGGGGCUACUGGAAUUCUCGGUGUAGCGGUGAAAUGCGUAGAUAUCGAGAGGAACACCUGCGGCGAAGGCGGGUUGCUGGGCUGACACUGACGCUGAAGCGCGAAAGCCAGGGGAGCGAACGGG
rnacentral:rRNA from 1 species